rnacentral:rRNA from 1 species
UACGAAGGGGGCGAGCGUUGUUCGGAUUUACUGGGCGUAAAGAGCGUGUAGGCGGCCGUACAGGUCAGCUGUGAAAACUCGAGGCUCAACCUCGAGACGUCGGUUGAAACCGUACGGCUAGAGUCCGGAAGAGGAGAGUGGAAUUCCCGGUGUAGCGGUGAAAUGCGCAGAUAUCGGGAAGAACACCCGUGGCGAAGGCGGCUCUCUGGGACGGUACUGACGCUGAGACGCGAAAGCGUGGGGAGCGAACAGG